GAUGAACGCUAGCGGCAGGCUUAAUACAUGCAAGUCGAGGGGCAGCAGGACUGUAGCAAUACAGUUGCUGGCGACCGGCAAACGGGUGCGGAACACGUACGCAACUUACCCUGAACUGGGGGAUAGCCCGGGGAAACCCGGAUUAAUACCACGUAAUAUAAUGGAGUGGCAUCACUUUAUUAUUAAAGCUCCGGCGGUUCGGGAUGGGCGUGCGGCUGAUUAGGUAGUGGGUUGAGGUAACGGCUCACCAAGCCUACGAUCAGUAAGGGGUGUGAGAGCACGACCAGUCAGACGGGCACUGGGACACGGGCGCGACUCCUACGGGAGGCAGCAGUAAGGGAUACUGGGGAAGGGAGGCAACUCCGACCCAGCCAUGCCGCGUGGAGGAUGAAGGCCCUCUGGGUUGUAAACUUCUGUUAUAGGGGACGAAACCUGUGUAUUCUUACGCAGUUGACGGUACCCUAGGAAUAAGCACCGGCUAACUCCGUG
rnacentral:rRNA from 1 species